AUGACGUCCAAGUCCUCAUGGCCCUUAUAGGUGGGGCUACACACGUCAUACAAUGGCUGGGUACCAAAGGGUUGGCCAACCCGCGAGGGGGAGGCCAAUCCCAUAAAGCCAGUCGUAGUCCGGAUCGCAGUCUGCAACUCGACUGCGUGAAGUCGGAAUCGCUAGUAAUCGUGGAUCAGCAUGUCACGGUGAAUACGUUCCCGGGUCUU
rnacentral:rRNA from 1 species